AUACAGAGGGUGCGAGCGUUAAUCGGAAUUACUGGGCGUAAAGCGCGCGUAGGCGGCUUAUUAAGUCAGAUGUGAAAUCCCCGGGCUCAACCUGGCAACUGCAUCUGAUACUGGUAAGCUAGAGUUUUGGAGAGGGAAGUAGAAUUUCAGGUGUAGCGGUGAAAUGCAUAGAGAUCUGAAGGAAUACCAGUGGCGAAGGCGACUUCCUGGCCAAAAACUGACGCUGAGGUGCGAAAGCGUGGGUAGCAAACGGGAUUAGAAACCCUAGUAGUCC
rnacentral:rRNA from 1 species